rnacentral:lncRNA from 1 species
AAUAUAGUUGAAUGGAGAUGAAUGAUGAAAAUCUCCAUUCCUAUUGGUCAAAAAUUAUGACCAAUGGACUUUGAGGAGGCUGCCCGAGGACAUAUUAGGAAUUAUGGUUAGUUUCUUGGAGCUAUUCGAGCUUUGAAGGCUAGGAUCAGCAAGUUUAGGUUUUUGGCUAUAGUUUUGGUACAAGUUUUAUAUGGUUUGGAGUUUAUAUGAAAGAGAUAUUGGUGCUCAAAGUUAAGGUGUUGAUUUGAGAGCUAUUGUCACUCUUUUUGUCAUAACGCACGCGUACAGAUAGCAAUUGAGGAUCGGCAACCACGACUAAAGAGCACUUUUGUAGCUACACUUUUCACAUACUGCUUACUAGAUUCUAAGUUCAAGUGAAGGAGUUAUUGGAUUUUGAAGUCAGUACAUGCAAUGUAAAGAUAGUAAGUGAUCUCAUUUAUUAGUGGUUGUGUCUUAAACUAUAUCUUGAGCAAUUUCAUAAGGUUUUAGCUCAAAAUUUCAAACAAUGUGUAAUUUCAUAUAAGUAAACUUUUUGUAUAAGUUUCAUGAUAUUUGAGAAUUGGAUUCUUGAGAUAUUAAGAAAAUAGUGCUCUGAUACUUAUAAAUUAGGGUUUUGAGCAUCUAUUAGGAU